GGAAAGUUGGCAGAGUCUGGUUUAAUGCGACAGUCUUGAAAACUGUUGAACAAAAAUGUUCCGUGGGUUCAAAUCCCACACUUUCCUCCA
rnacentral:tRNA from 1 species